GAUGAAGAACGUAGCGAAAUGCGAUAAGUAAUGUGAAUUGCAGAAUUCAGUGAAUCAUCGAAUCUUUGAACGCACAUUGCGCCCCUCAGUAUUCUGGCGGGCAUGCCUGUUCGAGCGUCAUUUCAACCAUCAAGCCCUGCUUGUGUUGGGGUCCUGCGGCUGCCCGCAGGCCCUGAAAACCAGUGGCGGGCUCGCUAGUCACACCGAGCGCAGUAGCACAUCUCGCUCAGGGCGUGCGGCGGGCUCCAGCCGUUAAAGCACCCACCUUUCGCAAGGUUGACCUCGGAUCAGGUAGGAAUACCCGCUGAACUUAAGCAUAUCAAUAAGCGGAGGA
rnacentral:misc_RNA from 1 species